CCUACGGGGGGCAGCAGUCGAGAAUUAUUCACAAUGGGGGAAACCCUGAUGGUGCGACGCCGCGUGGGGGAAUGAAGGUCUUCGGAUUGUAAACCCCUGUCAUGUGGGAGCAAAUUAAAAAGAUAGUACCACAAGAGGAAGAGACGGCUAACUCUGUGCCAGCAGCCGCGGUAAUACAGAGGGCUCAAGCGUUGUUCGGAAUCACUGGGCGUAAGGCGUGCGUAGGCUGUUUCGUAAGUCGUGUGUGAAAGGCGCGGGCUCAACCCGCGGACGGCACAUGAUACUGCGAGACUAGAGUAAUGGAGGGGGAACCGGAAUUCUCGGUGUAGCAGUGAAAUGCGUAGAUAUCGAGAGGAACACUCGUGGCGAAGGCGGGUUCCUGGACAUUAACUGACGCUGAGGCACGAAGGCCAGGGGAGCGAAAGGGAUUAGAUACCCGAGUAGUC
rnacentral:rRNA from 1 species